CCUACGGGAGGCAGCAGUGGGGAAUAUUGGGCAAUGGGCGCAAGCCUGACCCAGCAACGCCGCGUGAAGGAAGAAGGCUUUCGGGUUGUAAACCUCUUUUGAUAGGGAAGAGUAGAAGACGGUACCUGAAGAAAAAGCAUCGGGUAACUCCGUGCCAGCAGCCGCGGUAAUACGGAGGAUGCGAGCGUUAUCCGGAUUUAUUGGGUUUAAAGGGUGCGUAGGCGGAAUGCCAAGUCAGCGGUAAAAUCGCGGGGCUCAACCUCGCUCCGCCGUUGAAACUGGCGUUCUUGAGUGGGCGAGAAGUAUGCGGAAUGCGUGGUGUAGCGGUGAAAUGCAUAGAUAUCACGCAGAACUCCGAUUGCGAAGGCAGCAUACCGGCGCCCAACUGACGCUGAAGCACGAAAGCGUGGGUAUCGAACAGGAUUAGAUACCCCUGUAGUC
rnacentral:rRNA from 1 species